AAGUCGUAACAAGGUUUCCGUAGGUGAACCUGCGGAAGGAUCAUUAUUGAAAUAAACCUGAUGGGUUGCUGCUGGUUCUCCAGGGAACAUGUGCACACUUGUCAUCUUUAUAUCUUCACCUGUGCACCUUUUGUAGACCUGAAUAUCUUUCUGAGUGCGCUUAGCAUUCAGGUUAGAGGACUGACUUUACUGUCUUUCCUUACAUUUUCAGGCCUAUGUUUCUUCAUAUACCCCAUGUAUGUUACAGAAUGUAGUCAAUAGGUGUUUGUGCCUAUAAACUUUAUUACAACUUUCAGCAACGGAUCUCUUGGCUCUC
rnacentral:misc_RNA from 1 species